UUCAGCUCCGUUUCCCUGAGUACACAGGGAUGUGAAGACCCAUAUGACUGUUUGGGGUCUUCCUACCACUGAGCUGACCAGCAGAAAGGGGGAUCAUCAUCUUGGCUAGAGGGACUCAUCUCUCAUCACCAAGAGGAAGUUGGGUUUCUGCUUCAGAACAGGAGAGGAUGCUCACUGUGGAGGUCCCUGGGCCACCUUUUGUACCUCCAUACCUACUAGUGAAGGUUACAGGACACCAACAACCCAAAUUUAAGCAAACAUUCCAAAGACGACGGGAAUGGGCUGCUGUUGCUGCCAGAAGACGAGAAACUUGCCUGGGGGUCCUGUGGUGUGGAUUUUAAAGUUCUUAAAAAAUAUUUCUGAGGAAGAAGACAUACCCUGUCCUUUCUCCAGCCGGGGACAUCAGCAUCAAGGCUUCCUUCUGCUCUGGGGUCUGACUGUUCCUGCCUGCCACCUGCGAACCAGUGGUCCAAGGGCAUGCCCUGGGCCUACCCCACCCCAUCAUGUGGGCCCCAGAGCUCUGCUAGGUGCAGGUGUGGCCCCGAUUUCACACAG